rnacentral:misc_RNA from 1 species
CCCAAAUAUUUUUCAAUUAUCUAGACAAUAAAUCAAAUAUGAACAAGGGAUGGAUUUUAUAGUAAGUGAAAAAUUCAAUAUACAAGUUGGGCAGUUAGAGAAUUGGAGGACAAUUCAAAAUUAACGAGUUGUGGACACAAAUAGAGGCUGAGAUUUGUGGAAAAGGACCUUGCGAACAGACCCAUCAUGCUUAUCAAAACUAUCAAUUAAUGUCCCCAUUCAGUAGUCCCAUAGCUGGAUCACACCACUUUGAAGGCUCACAAGGAUCCACGGUCUCCUACUGUCGAAACUCAGUCCUUUCGCUCUAUUACUCUUCUUCUUAAACUUUAUCAACAUCUUCUUCGAUCAAAUAGAACAACCUUUUCCAAAAGAACAACUCAAUCAAUUUCAGAGAAUUAUCGUAAACUCACAGAUGUAGCAUUAAGGUGAGGGUGAGAAGCGAAA